rnacentral:rRNA from 1 species
AUUCCAGCUCCAAUAGCGUAUAUUAAAGUUGUUGCAGUUAAAAAGCUCGUAGUUGGAUUUCUGGGAGGGUGGCGAUGUCCGCUUAACGUGUGUGCAGCGGCGCCCUUCCAUCCUUCUGUUAGCGUCUCUUGGCAUUCAUUUGCUGGUGGCGGGCUCAGAUAUUUUACCUUGAGAAAAUUAGAGUGUUUCAGGCAGGCUAGGCCGGAAUACAUUAGCAUGGAAUAAUGGAAUAGGACUACGGUCUCUUUGUUGGUUUGAGGGACUGCAGUAAUGAUUAAUAGGGAUAGUUGGGGGCAUUAGUAUUUAAUUGUCAGAGGUGGAAUUCUCAGAUUUGUUAAAGACUAACUUAUGCGAAAGCAUUUGCCAAGGAUGUUUUCAUCA